UUGUCAACCCAUUCAUAGCCUUCGACUGAGUGAUGGUCUCCUUCACCGCCUCACAAUCAAGUCAUGCAUUAAAUAUCUCGUCUCUUCCUUCCCCUAACGGAUCAAAACCCUAACAAUUCAUAAACUUCGUCUCAUCGGCUCCUAUCUGUUAUUAUUUCAGUACUUUCCCCAACAGAGAAUGGGUUGAAGGUGAUUUUAAUUGUGACGGUGGAGGUGGUGGGUUGAAGGUGAUUGAUUGGAUAUUCCCGGUUUCAAGCUUCAACUUUCAACGUUUAACAAGUCUCACCUGCCAUGCUGUGUGUGUGAAACCACCGUGAUUGAUUGAUUGGAAUAUUCUACGAACCGACAGACGCCAAAUCUUCCUGAAUCCUGACGGUAAACUGCGUUCUCGAUUGAUCGAUUGUUUGUUCGUUUGUGUACCCAUAGUGCCAAACGCCCAAACUUGGUACUUGAUUGAUGUAGCUUCUUCGGCUAGGAAGAACCCAUCGGCACUUUCACGUCCGGUAAGUGUUUGAUGAAAUGUCUCAGUCAGUAAGUGUUUUAAAGGGCUCUUGUAUUUGUCUUUUUAGUCACUUGUUUAAUGAUUCUUGUUGAGAUUAGUCAUUCUGAAGUGAUAUUCUUGAUGGGUAUGUAAGAAAUCCUGGAGAUACGUUCCUAUUUUCAAAUAUUGUUGGUAAAUUAACCCACAUUCAGAUCUUUAUUUGUUGUGAAUCGUUAGGUGAUGGAAGGAACCUUCUUGCUUUCUUGUUACGGUGAUAUAUUGAAGGAACACAUAUAAAUUGUUUGUAAUGAUAUUGGUUUGUUUACGAGUUGAUUGGUGUUAUAUGCAGUUGGGGAAUCAUUGCAUCUGUUUGAGGAAUAAAACUACUAGGCAAUGGAAAAGAUGUGCACGAUUGAGGGUUUGCGCAUGACUUUUCAACCUCAGCCUCAAGUUUCAAUUGGUAUGGGUGUGAACAAUGAACUAUAUACACAGGUUGAAAUAGAUGGGGAUGUGUGGGGUAAGGGAGUUGGGAUGAAAUGGGAUGAAGCUAAGAUGCAGAUUUGGAGUAGCUUUAAACGUUGCAUGAAUUAGCCAUUCUAAGAAACCGGAAGAGUAAAGAGAGAGCGCCUGCAUGGAGGAAUAAGAUCUGGUGGCGGCUAAUGACGACGGUGUGUAUCGAUCGUCAUCAAUCAUCAUCGAUGUCACGAUUCAAGAUUAGACGGCGGCUCCGGUGCUUGACCAGUGGACGCAUACUCAGACCAGAUGCCAAACCUAAAAUUGAGGUCGUCAGUUUGAUGCUUUGCUGUUAUUGUCGUUGCGAUGGUCAGAACUCUGCAUCAAGAUCACCUCACGGCCUCCACUACCAUAGGUGUUCAUAUUUCCAACCAACAAGAUCUUGGCACCAAUGAGUCUAGAAAGGUGAAAACUCCUAACUUUGUUCGCACUUUGCGGGGAUCUUCUAACUCACAAGUUCGCUUGUAUAUUCCGAAGGAAUUAGCUUUACAAAAUGGAUUAACUAAUGGAGAAUUGAUCCUAAAAGAUAUGAAAAAUGAAGGCGCGUGGACUAUAACAUAAGCAACCAUUUGGGCAGAUUCUACUACAUUCAUACAGGAUUGAACGAAUUCUGUAUUGCAAAUGGCUUAAAGAAAGGAGAUCAUGUUAAAUUUGAACUCAUCCGGAGCGGGAGAAAACCAAUUGCCAUUUUUCCAAUAUACAAAGUGGCUUCUGUGCAGUCACUCCGGACCGCUUGCUAUUCGGUGAAGUUGUGAUUCGGGUCAAACAUGCCUAUAAACUAGAAGAGCAUGCUCAUGAGGUGUUGAAGAAUAAAAGUGAUUGAAUUAAGUUAAGAUUUUAGCCCAUGUUUGCCCAAAUGUUUUUUUUUUCUUUUUGUGUAUAUGGAUUUAGGGCAUUUGGCCUGUUAGCUGGAAAAAGAAAUAGGGUAAAUGAAUAUGUCAUUUACUCGAAAUAUUAAAUGUAAA